ACAGCAGUGGUGACUGAAACAUAUAUUUUGCCUCUGACAAAUAUAAUAAGAAAAAAUUGAGUUCAAUGAACUCUAAAAACAAAACCAACCAACCAAUCAACUAACCAAACAACAAAUAUAGUCUCUUUAUUCACACAGCUUAGUGGAGGGAAGAAAUACUUUAAAAAUGCAUAAAUACUACAACAGGGGAGGCCAUUGGAGUUCCCGCGAAAACGCUAAUAAACAUUACACAUGAAUCAUGAAUGUCGGUGGAUGAUGAUGGCACUUUAUGCAGAGAUGAAGAAAGAUAUUAGAAUUGUUUACCUGGGGAUAUGAUAUAGAAGAAAUCUUUAAAUUCAUCCAUCCAAACUUC